rnacentral:rRNA from 1 species
AGUGAACGCUGGCGGUAGGCCUAACACAUGCAAGUCGAACGGCAGCACAGUAAGAGCUUGCUCUUACGGGUGGCGAGUGGCGGACGGGUGAGAAAUACAUCGGAAUCUACUUUUUCGUGGGGGAUAACGUAGGGAAACUUACGCUAAUACCGCAUACGACCUACGGGUGAAAGCAGGGGAUCUUCGGACCUUGCGCGAUUGAAUGAGCCGAUGUCGGAUUAGCUAGUUGGCGGGGUAAAGGCCCACCAAGGCGACGAUCCGUAGCUGGUCUGAGAGGAGGGUCAGCCACACUGGAACUGAGACACGGUCCAGACGCCUACGGGAGGCAGCAGUGGGGAAUAUUGGACAGAGGGCGCAAGCCUGAUCCAGCCAGACCGCGUGGGUGAAGAAGGCCUUCGGGUUGUAAAGCCCUUUUGUUGGGAAAGAAAAGCAGCAGGUUAAUACCCCGCUGUUCUGACGGUACCCAAAGAAUAAGCACCGGCUAACUUCGUG